CUGAUCCACACCUAUGAUGAGACCUGCCCGGGCUUUUUUCAACCCAUCUCCAUCUGUCUCAGGAUAAACCCAACUCUCUAAUUCUUGUGUUUGUUGCCCUGACUGUGACGUCUUCUCUUGUUUGCAUCUUGUUGGCGUUUUAGUGAGAAGCUGAGCAGUGACAUUUGGCAGGAUGUCACUUAGACGUCCUUCAAAGCCAGAAGCCUCAAGGAAGUCUUGACUCUCAGGGGAACUCAUCCAGACACUUCCAAAGUUGUGUCCUGUGUCUGCCUAUAACAGAUUUGAAAGGGUUGAUCUGAAAGGGUUUUCGUAUGUCUGCAACAACACAGGCGCAGUAACUCCUUCGUGGAGACUGCUUCCAUUUUCACAAUGUCCAGCUCCACGCUAGAGCUUCGGGGAAAGGGACCGAGGAAGUGACUGGUUCGCCAACUGAAACUACAAAUCCUAGAGCUGCAACUAUAUUUUAUAAAUGGCCCUCGUUCGGUUCCUGCAUAA
rnacentral:lncRNA from 1 species